UACGUAGGGUGCAGGCGUUAAUCGGAAUUACUGGGCGUAAAGCGUGCGCAGGCGGUUUCUUAAGUCAGAUGUGAAAGCCCCGGGCUUAACCUGGGAACUGCGUUUGAAACUGGGAGACUUGAGUAUAGUAGGGGUAGAGGGAAUUUCCAGUGGAGCGGUGAAAUGCGUAGAUAUCUGGAGGAACACCGGUGGUGAAGGCGGCAUCCUGGACCGAUACUGACGCUGAGGAGCGAAAGCCAGGGGAGCAAACGGG
rnacentral:rRNA from 1 species